rnacentral:lncRNA from 1 species
AAUGGGCAUGGGCAUUCCAGCUAUUGCCCAUUUAGACUCAGUGACAGGUGAAAGCUGGAUCCUGGAUGUCACCUCUAGUUUAGGGCAUGGGUUCCAUGACAAUCCCUCCAUCCACCAUGAAAAUGUUUUGUCUCUGGGUUUUCGAGUGUUUUAGGACAAUUUCACGAGAUUAAUUUGUGGCAUGAUGUUGGAAUUAUUCAGUCAUUCCUGCAUUCAAAUGAUAGCAAUAGUAAUUAGGG